UUUUAUGAAAAUAUACUAUACCAGACUAUUGUUACGUGAUCAUCGAUAUUACGUUACAGAAUGUUAUUGUAGUUUGCAGAAACGAUUUCGAUCAAUUCUUUACGUAGAAACCAUUUAGGUUUUUACGUGUUUGGGAACACGAUGAUUGAACAAUAGCUACAGCUGUAAACUUCUGUGAAUAAUUGAGGAGAUAAUUACUUGGGUAUUUAAAUAUUGCUACAAAAGAAUUUUUUUUAGAUACUAUUUUAUACUCUUGUUCUAGGUCGCUAAUAUUUUACAUAAUUUUAUAGGUGAACUACUUUAUUAUUUCUUACUAUUAUUUCCUUUUUCUUUCAAGUUCUCUAUAGAAUGUUUAAAUGUAUUUGUAAUUGCAAUGCAAUGCAAUGCAAUACGAAGACCUAUGAUUUAUGUAAAUCUUGAAAUCAUGUUAGGACGUAAUGUUGCUCAUCUUAUGUAACGGACUUGCAUACAUCAUAAUAUAAUAUGCAACGUGAUCCAUUUAUAACGGAGUAUAAAUUAAUGAGAUAAUGUAUGUACUGCUGAAUGCGGAACGAUCUUCUUGACGUACUUCACUCAUCUUGUGUCAGUGUUCAUUCCAAUAAACGAAAACGAAAAAUAUUCACAAUCAUCUCAUUAGUUGAAAGGUUGAAAUACGACUUCGACGCAUGAAAUCAAAUACGUUAACGACAUGUAAAUUAUUCUUAUUCCUAGAGUAAGCUACAAAUUUACUAUCCAGUUAUUCUAUCAAUUAGAAAUAGAAUUGUAUAAAUAACUGAAUAUAAAUUAUUCAGAAAACAUCCACGUUGCUAAUCGAUCAGAAAUAUCAACAGAAUUCUAAUUUAAUAAAUGUACAAUACUGAGGAAAUAGAAGCGGUUUAAAAAGCAUGUACUUAAAGGGACUUACAUGAUGGUAGAAAGUGGUGUGGCAGUGGCGAACGUUCUCAAUCGUGCUGGGCAACGCAGCUGUUCGAUGUUCCAGGUAAGUUGAACCAGG